rnacentral:misc_RNA from 1 species
GGAUGAAGAACGUAGCUAAAUGCGAUACUUGGUGUGAAUUGCAGAAUCCCGCGAAUCAUCGAGUUUUUGAACGCAAGUUGCGCCCAAAGCCAUUCGGCCGAGGGCACGUCUGCCUGGGUGUCACGCAUCGUUGCCCCCCCAAACUCCGGUUCGGGCGGGGCGGAAGUUGGCCUCCCGUGCGUGCCUGCGCGCGCGGUUAGCCCAAAAGCGAGUCCUCGGCGACGAGCGCCACGACAAUCGGUGGUUUUUUUACCCUCGUUCCUCGUCGUGCGUGUCCCGUCGCCCGAACGCGCUCUUGUGACCCUCACGCGUCGCCUCGGCGGCGCUCCCAACGCGACCCCAGGUCAGGCGGGACUACCCGCUGAGUUUAAGCAUAUCAAUAAGCGGAGGA